rnacentral:rRNA from 1 species
CCUACGGGGCGCAGCAGUGAGGAAUAUUGGUCAAUGGGAGAGAUCCUGAACCAGCCAAGCCGCGUGAGGGAAGACGGCCCUAUGGGUUGUAAACCUCUUUUGUCGGAGAACAAAACCCGGGACGUGUCCCGGACUGCGUGUAUCCGAAGAAAAAGCAUCGGCUAACUCCGUGCCAGCAGCCGCGGUAAUACGGAGGAUGCGAGCGUUAUCCGGAUUUAUUGGGUUUAAAGGGUGCGCAGGCGGACCAUCAAGUCAGCGGUAAAAUCGUGGGGCCCAACCCCAUCCCGCCGUUGAAACUGGCGGUC